ensembl:snRNA U6 U6 spliceosomal RNA
GUGCUUGCUUCGCGCAGUACACAUACUAAAACUGGAACAAUACAGAGAAGAUUAACAUGGUCCCUGUGCAAGGAUGACAUGCAAAUUCAUGAAGCGUUUAAAAAAUGU